GAACUAUCCUAGCUGAUGCCAGGGAUAGCGCGUUUGUCUACCUCUCUGUUAUGAUGCUCGUAAGGACCUUAAGUCAAUCCAGUUCUCCUUUCAUAGGGCCAAAUAAACCUCUGUCGAGUGGCUGUGUCACGUGAGAGGUGUGUGCUGGCAACGUGAAAAGGAUGAUUCCAACCUCUUUGCAGUACUCGACAACUGGCCAACUGAUAUGACUUAUAGAAAUCAAAAACAAUUCUGCUGUCAUCCAGACACUUGGCGUUGCUAAUGGUAUAAACCCGUCGGGAAGAUUAACCAUUUUCUUCAAGUUGACUUUCUUAACAGGAUAAAUGAAUGUACCUGGGAUGGCACGACCAGCGGCGUUAACAAAUGCAAGCAUAGUCACAUUAGUGCCUAUGCUUGAGAUGAAGUGCUUGACACCUGAAAUAACAUUGGACUAUUCUAAAUUAACUACCAGCAAGAAAAAGUUUUCUGUUCAAAUUUUUCAGCCAAUACACACCUGUCUACUUCCUCUUGCAGCAACAACUUUAGAAAUUGUCGAUCACAAGAUGGUUUACUGCUGGUGCUCUUGCCUGGCUCGUUCUUUCUGGUUUACGAAUCGAAAGGUUUGCGUUCCGCUUCAGGAAAGCAGCGAACCAAUCUUCUCCAGCUGACUCGUUUUUAUGCCACGGAAGAGGCAUUUCGAUUGCGUUUGCUUUACCAUAAAUAAAUGCCAAUUUCCUCGUUUGCCGUGGUGUAAGGCCAUGAUUUAACUUUUGGGUGACGAUGAGAUAUAGUGCAAGUUCCUUUUCUUUUUCUGGUGUGAACGUUUGACGACGAUGAAAAUUCCUUUUCAAUUUAUAUGAGCUUUGGUCACUUUGAUUAAUCUUGAGAGAUAAUCGAUGAAGAGUUGACUUGGACAGCCCUGUCAAAGCUGCUUUACAAAAACUAAUUCCACUCGUUGUAAUUCUAUGUAAUACCCCUUUAGUUUCAUAUUCUGUAAGUACGUUGCCAGCAUGUUUUUUUAUAUAGCUGCGAACCAUCUGUAAUAGAAUGAACAAAGUCGUUUAUAAUGUAAAACAAAAAAUGUACGUAGCCUAUAUGUUAAACUGGUUUACCAUCAGAAGACUUUCCUUGCACGACAAAUGUAGUACUAGUGCACAGUGAACAUAACACAUGUUGAUGUGUACAGACUUGAAAUAAAACACCUGUUGUAUGAACAAGAAUAUAUUAUGAGAAGAA